rnacentral:rRNA from 1 species
GAUGAACGCUGGCGGCGUGCCUAAUACAUGCCAGUCGAGCGAACAGACGAGGAGCUUGCUCCUUCGACGUUAGCGGCGGACGGGUGAGUAACACGUAGGUAACCUACCUAUAAGACUGGGAUAACUUCGGGAAACCGGAGCUAAUACCGGAUAAUAUUUCGAACCGCAUGGUUCGAUAGUGAAAGAUGGCUUUGCUAUCACUAUAGAUGGACCUGCGCCGUAUUAGCUAGUUGGUAAGGUAACGGCUUACCAAGGCAACGAUACGUAGCCGACCUGAGAGGGUGAUCGGCCACACUGGAACUGAGACACGGUCCAGACUCCUACGGGAGGCAGCAGUAGGGAAUCUUCCGCAAUGGGCGAAAGCCUGACGGAGCAACGCCGCGUGAGUGAUGAAGGUCCUCGGAUCGUAAAACUCUGUUAUUAGGGAAGAACAAACGUGUAAGUAACUGUGCACGUCUUGACGGUACCUAAUCAGAAAGCCACGGCUAACUACGUG